AUUAUAUUUAAGUUGAGUGUGCAAACGAUUUAAUGUUUAAAACAGUUUAAAUAAAGCAGUGAAAGUCGGUAGAACUAAUGUGUACAUAGUGAGCUCAAGAACAGCUAAUCGAACAGUUUUCAAACACCAUGCACU